GGACUACUAGGGUUUCUAAUCCUGUUUGCUCCCCACGCUUUCGCGUCUCAGCGUCAGUACCGUCCCAGCGAGCUGCCUUCGCCAUUGGUGUUCCUCCUGAUAUCUGCGCAUUUCACCGCUACACCAGGAAUUCCACUCGCCCCUUCCGGACUCUAGCUUGACAGUUUCCACCGGCAUUUCAGGGUUGAGCCCUGAACUUUCACAGCAGACUUGUCAAGCCGCCUACACGCGCUUUACGCCCAAUGAUUCCGGACAACGCUAGCCCCCUACGUAUUACCGCGGCUGCUGGCAC
rnacentral:rRNA from 1 species